GUGUCGUUGGGUGAGUGGUUGAUACCGGCAGGCUGUAACCCUGCUUCCUUCGGGACACGGUGGUUCGAAUCCAUCACGGCACACCA
rnacentral:tRNA from 1 species